GGCAGUUCUCAGGUGACGUACCGGGAAUUGGGCUCCCUCCUCUCUGGUUCCUGGGUGUGCCACCAGAGAACUACA
rfam:Myotis davidii contig86712, whole genome shotgun sequence.